rnacentral:rRNA from 1 species
UACGUAGGGUGCGAGCGUUGUCCGGAAUUAUUGGGCGUAAAGCGCGUGUAGGCGGCUUUGCAAGUCAGGUGUGAAAGCCCUCGGCUCAACCGAGGAAGUGCGCCUGAAACUGCAGAGCUUGAGUACCGGAGAGGAUGGCGGAAUUCCCCAAGUAGAGGUGAAAUUCGUUGAUAUGGGGAGGAACACCGGUGGCGAAGGCGGCCAUCUGGACGGAUACUGACGCUGAGACGCGAAAGCGUGGGUAGCAAACAGG